rnacentral:tRNA from 1 species
CAGGGGGUAUUUUAUUUAAAAUGUUAAUUUUGGGGAUUAAUGAAAUGGGGCUUCCUUUCCUCUGA